UGUGCCUACGGGGCGCAGCAGUGGGGGAUAUUGCACAAUGGGGGAAACCCUGAUGCAGCGACGCCGCGUGGGUGAAGAAGCGCCUCGGCGCGUAAAGCCCUGUCAGCAGGGAAGAAAAUGACGGUACCUGAAGAAGAAGCCCCGGCUAACUACGUGCCAGCAGCCGCGGUAAUACGUAGGGGGCAAGCGUUAUCCGGAUUUAUUGGGUUUAAAGGGUGCGUAGGCUGUGAGGUAAGUCAGCGGUGAAAUGCCCCCGCUCAACGGGGUGAAGUGCCAUUGAUACUGCCUUGCUGGAAUGCGGAUGC
rnacentral:rRNA from 1 species